UCGACUUUAACGCCGUAGCAGAACUUGGCAGCCAUCUCGAAAGUCUGCGAGCCGCCCGGAAAAUCUGGAAGCGUAAUCUGACAAUGGAUUUCCUCGAUUUCGUCUUCAGGUUCUUUCUCUUCUCCUUCUCUUCCUGCAGUAGAUGUUUCGUUUGUUUCUUGCUCUGUUAUCAGUUGGUGAAGCUUUCGACUUUUAGACAUCAAAGGAAACUGAACCAAGACAUAACCAACAAAAAUCAGGAAAUAUAGAUGACUUAUAUUAGGUCAUAGUAUAGUCUUACAAUCUACAUAGAUUUUCUGGGUAUUAUUAGGCUGACCUUGUGAAGAUGAAAGGCCAUAUCUUCCACUUCUAUAACAAUAUCACUUGGCAAUCCAGUAGUGCAAAACCUGCAAGAAAACUUGAAUUAAUAUCACCCGAUGUUUUGUUGAUUUUCCUUUAAAAGAAAAGGGAAAUUAAAGAUAGCUCUAACCAUGCUUGACUCUUGGUGAUGGUCUUCUCAGCUGCCAUUUUUAUCUUCUAAAAAGGAAAAUCUAUUCCUGUUUAGAUGCCUUAUGCAGACUAAGCUAGAUCCAUGAGUAGGAAGACAGUGGAGUCUUGAAAGAAAGCAAGAAAGCAAAAUGUUUUUGCUUCUUUUUUGAGUCACAGUGUUUAUUGAGGAAGAAAGAGUGAGUUUGGGUAUCCAAAUAUAAACUCAGAACGGACAAAACAAAUGAAAAAGCUUUAGCAGAUUUCGAAAAAGUAGAUCAAUAAUUUAUUUAUAUCAUUUCUUUACUAAAAUUUCCCUUGCCUUUCUUUGAAUCGGAUCAGAAUCCCAACCACUCCACAACUCAAACCUCUCUUCUGUAUCUUUAUACAGAAGAAAGAAAGUCUUUCUGGAAGAAUUCUUUUUCCUUCCUUCCUAAAAAGGCCAUCAUUACAUUUACCUCCCACUAGCAAUAAACACAUUGCUUGCUUGCUUUUUGCGUAAAUUGUGGAAUAAUUUAAUGUGAUUUACCCUGUCAAGGACUUGUUUAAGCAAUUACGCAUGGCUCAAUCAAUCCAAAUAUCCAAUUAUCCAAGUCCAAGGUCAUAGAGAUUAAUGAUAUGUAAAUUACCUACCUUUAUAGAUUAAUAAUCAAAAAGAAGUGGGUGGGACAUGCAAACAUAAUGAGUCUUAAUCAGAGAUUUCAACUUAGGCCUUGACGCUUGUCUUGUAAUUAACAAUCUCACAAUCAUAAUCUUUAGUUGGAAGAUACAUCACAGCUAAAGCGACAAAAAGAUAAUGAUGAUUAGAUCUUAAUGAUUUCUUCUUAUUUUGGAAGCUAAUAGUAAUUUCUAUUAUAUGUAUGAAAGUCCAAAUGGCAAGAAUACAGAACUCUUAGCUGGUGCACUAAUUUAGUUGGUGACAACACUAUAAUAUUGAUUAUGCAUGAAAGAGAGAAAAUGAAGCAAUUCUUUAAAGAGAGGGAGAAAUUUUCAAACUUUGUAAAAUUCCCAUAGGAUUCAUCUAAAAAUUUUACAUGGAAAUUAAUGGUCACAUGGAGAUAUGACCCACAUAAAAAGAAAACCUUACAAUUUCAAAAUGGCUGAUUUUUUUGAAAUUCAUUUCUCUUUACAAAUGAAUUCCCAUUUCCUCCCUUGAAACUUAGGUCUGAAAACGAACAAAAAAAUUAGAACAAGAAAUGGGUUACAGUCUCAUUUAUAGCAGCAUAUCUACCAUCCUACCUUCCUUCAAAACAUUUAUGGCCAUAUUAAUUAGGUGACAGGAAUAGCAUGUGAUCAUCCAUGAAACAGCUUAGAAUGUUUGCAUAAUUUUGAUAAUGAAACAUGAAAUUAUGAAUAGAACCAGUAAAUCGUACGGAUAAUUAUCUAAUUAUUAAACUAAAAAUUUUGAUAAUAAAGAAUGGUUAUGGUGAUGUCAGAAAUAGUGGCUAUGGAUUUUUAAAAGGAAAAAGAAACUCACCCCACAGCCCACCACUUGCAUAGAACUGAAUCUUCUGUUAUAAUAGUUGAUUGUGAAUGAAAGUUUCAAAGAGAGGGAGAUGAUUACUGUGAGUGGACUAAUGGAGCCCUUUUAUUUCUACAUUUCACGUGGUUUGGUGACUAAUCAUUAGACAAAAUGCACAAAAACAAGCAAUUGCAUAGUUCAGUAGGACACACACAGCAAUUUUGUGGUAUGUGAAUGGCUUAUGCCACUCUUAAAUGAAAAGGACAACAAAAGCAGAACAAUAAAGAUCCAAAAUUUAUCAAAGGUCAGACCAUAUUUUUGCUUAUAGAAUGCUAAAAUGUGGGUCACAUUGUCUUGAAUACAUGAAACUAUGGGUACUCCCUACCACUUCAGAGAUUUUAGGGCACCAUUUUCAUCUUCCUAGAAUCUCUCAUUUUUAAGUUUCAAUUUUAAAUAACUUUCACUUCUCUCUCACCAAAUUCCUACUGUUAUAGCAAACAAUAGCCAAGUAGGUUAGAAAAUGGAAUGCACAAAGACCAUAACAAAUCAUCCAAAAAAAAAACCAAAACCCAAGAGACUAGUGCGUUAAUCUGAAGCAUUAUGGCACCCUGCACAAGAUAACAGGAGUUUGAUUCUUUUAUUAAUUAAACCACACACUUAUCUGUUCGUGAGCAAAUAGAGCUUAUUUAAAAAUAUAGGAACAUGAUAAUUGGUCAAUAAAACAUUGACCCAUUACAUUAUUUCUAAUAACAUCUCGCUGAGAUAUAGCCAAGCUUAGACAAAUUUAUUCUUGCAAGGGAAGGUUAUAUUUAGCCCCAUCAUCAUCACUCUUACACCACUUCCUGUCGACCAACAUCUUGAGAUGUUUCAAUACCUGCACGUACUUUUAUGACGUAAGAUUAUUACAUUAGAUUAGCUUAAUAAACAUAUGAGGAAGAAUAUAUUCCAAUUCUAAAAUAUAGCGUUGAAAGGUUGAACUGUUGAGUGUUAAUAUAGUUAUUAAAUGUUUGGAACAAAGAAAUAUCCAAGUUAUUUAAAUAAUCAUCUGAGUAACCUUAAUUUUGCAGAUAAAUAUACCUGCUGUGGUGGUUGUAGGUGAAGCUACUGACGGUUGCGGAGCAAUAGCUUCCUCUGCACGAGUUGGGAUGCGAACACCCGGCCAUGAUCGGCACAUGCAGUGCUUUCCCUCCUCUAUGCUACCAUAGAGAGCGGCAAGAUGCUUGCCACACCCGGCCCAUGAAUACUU
rnacentral:lncRNA from 1 species